GACGAACGCUGGCGGCGUGCUUAACACAUGCAAGUCGAACGAUGAAGCCGGAGCUUGCUCUGGUGAAUUAGUUGCGAACGGGUGAGUAACACGUGAGUAACCUGCCCUUGACUCUGGGAUAACUGCGGGAAACUGUAGCUAAUACCGGAUACGACCCUCGGAGGCAUCUCCUGGGGGUGGAAAGAAUUUCGGUCAAGGAUGGACUCGCGGCCUAUCAGCUAGUUGGUGAGGUAAAGGCUCACCAAGGCGACGACGGGUAGCCGGCCUGAGAGGGUGACCGGCCACACUGGGACUGAGACACGGCCCAGAGUCGUACGGGAGGCAGCAGUGGGGAAUAUUGCACAAUGGGCGCAAGCCUGAUGCAGCAACGCCGCGUGAGGGAUGACGGCCUUCGGGUUGUAAACCUCUUUUAGCAGGGAAGAAGCGAAAGUGACGGUACCUGCAGAAAAAGCACCGGCUAACUACGUGCCAGCCGCCGCGGUAA
rnacentral:rRNA from 1 species